UUUUUUUUUUUUUUUUAUGGGCUGUACCUCAGGGCUCCCAAAUAGUUAAUGAGGGGAAGUUCAUAUAGGGUAUUCCAGUUAAUCAAAGAAGAAAAGAUAUAGCCAAUCAUAAUUUUACUAUUUUUUAAACUUUAAUAGAUCAUAGGAAAUGUCCACCAAUGACUGCUAACAUCACUAAAAGAAAACCAGAUAUUAUGUACCUCAUGACAGAAGAACACACCAUCUACUAUGAAAUAUUCUUGUCAUAACCUGAACUUGAAUCUGGAUCUAACUACAAUUCUAUAAGAAAUACAAAAGAACAUCUUUUAAAUAUCAGGAAGAAGCUAAACUGAUCCAUGUGGUAGUGGAUUAGAGCUGGAGACAUCAGUAUAAAUUUGUGUUUAGAUUAACUUAGAUACAGAUGGUUACAUAUAAAAAUAGUCAUAGGUAUGUGUGUAUACAAGGGUUAGUGUCCACAAAUUUCCUCAGUCAGCUGUGAGGGGAUAGAAGCAGUCAUACCCCAGUAGCAAAAAGCAUACCCAGUACCCAGAGCUUGAUUUCCAAUACCAUUUUCUAAUAAAAGGAACUGGACUCCUUGGAGAAAUGGCUGAUUCAAGCCCUGGGACAAGAAAUAUACCUAAUGGAUACAUGAUAAACCUGGAGCAUCUUGUGAUGUGAGAAAUCUUUUUUUUUUUAAUGGAAAAAAAAAACCCAUAUUGACAGGAGUAUGUCAAAGGGACAGGGACUUAAGAACCAACUGAAAGAGUUCUCAGUGGCCAAAGCUGAAACAAUUGGAGCAACAAAAUAAAGUAGUAUUGGAUUAUAACCCAUAGUAUAAAGUAAAUAUCUGCAAAUCCAUUCUGAUAUAAAUAAUGCGCAAGUAGAGGCACCUGGCUGGCUCAGUCAGUAGCACACCUGGAGGUUGUUUGAGUUCAAGCCCCAAGUUGGGUGUAGAGCUUACUUUAAAAAAUAAUGAAGCAAAUAAAUGAGCAGAAAGAGACAUCUCCCAGGCAGAAGAAUUGAAAUGAUUUCGACAUAUACUGUGUCCCUCAGGAGGUGGAGCACAACUGAUCACUCCUUUAUUUAUUCACGAGAGACACACAGAGAGAGGCAGAGACAUAGGCAGAGAGAGAAGCAGACUCUCUGUGGGGAGCCUGAUGCAGGACUCGAUCCCAUGAUCCCCGGUAUCACAACCUGAGCUGAAGGCAGAUACUCAACCACUGAGCCACCCAGGUGUCCCACAACUGACCACUCCUUAAGUGUGUGCUGUAAAUAAUGACUUCCUUCCAAAGAGGACAGUGUGGAAAGGAGUGGGGGAAGCAAUUUUGUGACUUUGAGGAGGAACCUGACAAACAUUAGUCUAGCCAGGUGAGUCAAGGUCAACAUCAACAGUAAUAAAUCAUGUUGACAGUAUGCACCCUUGAUACGAUGUGAGGCAUAUGGUAUUUCAUGUUACUUGUCUUCCUCCCAAAAUGACAUAACCCUGGUCUAAUCAUGAGAAAAUCAUUAAACCCCACUGGAGGGACAUUCUACAAAAUACCUGACCACCACACCUCAGAACUGUUCAGGUCAUUGACUAUGAGUAAAGUCUGAGAAACUGUCUCAACAAAGCAUACCUUAAGGAUUCCUGAUGACUAAAUUUAAUAAUGUGGUCUCCUAGAUAGGAUCCUGGAUCAGAAAAAGGACGUUAGAUGAAAGCUAAGGUAAAAUCUAAAUAAAGUAUGGACUUUGAUUAAUAAUAAUGUAUGGAUAUCGGUCAAUUAUUGUAACAAACACACCAUGCUAAUGUAAGAUAUUAAUAAUAGGGAAACUGGGGGAAUUAUGUGGGAACUCUCUGUACUAUCUUCACAACUUUUUCUGUAAAUCUAAAACUGCUACAAAAAAUAAAGCUUAAGGGCGCCUGGAUGGCCCAAUCCGGUGAGCAUCCAACUCUUGUUUCGGCUCAGGUCAUGAUCCCAGGGUCCUGAGAUUGAGCCCUGUUGUUGUCAGGCUCAGCACUGAGUGGGGAGUCUAUUUGGGAUGCUUUCUCUCUGCCUCUCACCCUGCUCUCUCUCUCAAAUAAAUAAAUCUUUUUUUAAAAUUAAGUUUAUUUUUUUUAAAUGAGGAGGAUGCCACCAAUAAAAUCUAGACUGAAAGAAACUCUACAAGACCAAUGACCUGGUUUCUUCAAUAAGUGAAUUACAAGGGGAAAAAAGAGAUGGAGGUAGAUUCUAUACAUAAAAAGAGUUUGAGGAGACCUAUCAGUUGAAGCAAUUGGGCUUCAUUUGGACCCUCAUUUGAAGAAACAAAAAGUAAGGAAAUGUGAAUAUUGACUGAAUAUUUGAUAGCAAUUAUUGAUCAUUUUUAAGCAUGAUAAUAGUAUUACUGCUUUAAAAAGAUUAUCUUUCAGAGAUACAUGCUGAAAUAUUUAUAAAUUUAUGAUAAAAACAAUCCAGUGAGGCGCUAGUAGGUGAGAAUAGAAAUAAAAUAGGAUUGGCUGUGAAUUAUUUCUGAAAUUGAGUGAUGUUCCAUAAUAAGGGCUUAUUAUAUUAUUCUCUUUACUUUUAUACAGUUUGAUGUUUUCUAUAGUAAAAGUUAAAAAUAAAAAGAUCUUUGACUUCUCCUGAAGGUAAAGGUUAUAAUUUACAUUUGAAUAA
rnacentral:lncRNA from 1 species